rnacentral:rRNA from 1 species
UAUUCUUUAUAGCUUGCUAUAGAGGUAAUUAGUGGCAGACGGGUGAGUAAUGCAUAGGAAUCUACCUAGUAGUAUGGGAUAGCCACUAGAAAUGGUGGGUAAUACUGUAUAAUCCCUGCGGGGGAAAGAUUUAUCGCUAUUAGAUGAGCCUAUGUUAGAUUAGCUAGUUGGUAGGGUAAAGGCCUACCAAGGCGAUGAUCUAUAGCUGGUCUGAGAGGAUGAUCAGCCACACUGGAACUGAGAUACGGUCCAGACUCCUACGGGAGGCAGCAGUGGGGAAUAUUGGACAAUGGGCGCAAGCCUGAUCCAGCUAUGCCGCGUGAGUGAGGAAGGCCUUAGGGUUGUAAAACUCUUUCAGUAGGGAAGAUAAUA